CCUAUCCCUGCCCUCUAGCCCCUCCUCCCUCCUGCCUCCCUGUCACCAGCACCUGCAGGUGCCUCAGGGGAGCAGAGCUCACACCCCAACCUGCCCACGGCCCCCCACCCAGUCAGUCUCCUUCCAGCAGGAGCAGUUGGGAGGUCCCCUGGGCUGCCCUCCAGCAGGUGGGAAGCAGAACCAUGCUGGGUCCCCUCGCCUUCCUGUGCGCCCUCCUUCUUCCAGGUGGAGUGGCAGCGCUCAGUCUGAAGCAGCCGACGGUGGUCGUGGGGCGCCUGGGCAGCUCAGCCUCCAUGUUCUGCACAGCCAGCGAAUCUGUCAGCUACAUCCACUGGUACCUCCACCAGGAGGGGAGUGCGCCCAAGAGGAUCCUCAUGCUGAAUAUGCAAAGAUCACAAGAUCAGAGAUAUGGAGGCUACAGAUCGGACAAGAUCACUGCCAAGAAGGUCGGGGGUAGCAACCGCUGUGAACUGUCACUGCUGAAGCUGGAGAAGCGUGACGAGGGCACGUACUACUGCGCUGCCUGGGAAGCUCACAGCCAUGAGUUCCUCUCUGCUCCCUGCGCAAAAAGUCCCCUCUCCCCGGGUGCUCCAGGCUUGGACAUCCCAGGGUUGCUGGGUCCCUGGGGCUUCCUGAGGUCAACUGUCACUACCCCCCGGACACUUACGGAUGUCCCCUCCACGGGUCCACAGCACAUAAUUAAGGAGGCUAAGGAGCUCCUGGUGCAGAACCAGGGAGCUGUCCAUUCUGGAGGCGUUUUUGAAAAAUGUUUAUUUAUUCUUGAGAGAGAGAGAGAAUGAUCUGGGAAGGUCAGAGCGAAAGGGACCCUGAGCUGUCAGCACAGAGACCAGUGCAGGGCUGGAACUCAUGAGGCAUGAGAUUAUGAUCUGAGCCAAAUUCAGCGUUUAAUGGUUUAAUGGACUGAGCCACCCAGGUACCCCUGGAGGCACUUUUCUCAAGAUGGUCCAGGGCGGAGCUUCUGAAGCGUCUGGAGCAGAAUCUGAGCUGCUCAGUUCAGGAGCCACGAGCACUAGGCACCAGUCACGUGUGGCUACUGAGCACUUGAAAGGGAACCAGUGCACUAGUCCACGCAGAGAUGGACAG